rnacentral:rRNA from 1 species
GAUCAGCCGUACUCCGAAUGAACUACNUUUAAGUUUGAUCAUGGCUCAGAGNCAACGCUGUUAGGUAGGCCUAACACAUGCAGCCGAACGGCAGCACAGGAGAGCUUGCUCUCUGGGUGGCGAGUGGCGGACGGGUGAGGAAUACAUCGGAAUCUACUCUGUCGUGGGGGAUAACGUAGGAAACUUACGCUAAUACCGCAUACGACCUGCGGGUGAAAGCAGGGUGACCUUCGGGCCUUGCGCGAUUGAAUUUUGGAAAGCCCGAUGUCGGAUUAGCUAGUUUGGCGUGGGUAAAGUGCCCCCUACCUAAGGCGUACGAUCCGUAGCUGGUCUGAGAGUGAUGAUCAGCACCCAAACCAAAACCCUUUGGGGAAAAACCCCUUUUGGGAAAGGA